AAAUUAACCUGGCAGUGGAAAUACCAUGAUCACUUGGAUGGUUUUGCUAGGGUGAGGCCUGUCUCUUGCACUCUGGGCAUGCUGACCCCUGUGAGUUUCCCCAAACAGAGGAGACUCAACUGCACAAUUUUGUGGUAAUUGGGGACUGCUUUCUUGAUUUUCCUCU
rfam:Alligator mississippiensis ScZkoYb_22, whole genome shotgun sequence.